UGGGAACAGGCCUUUCAGCCACAGCCACAGACACAAAGAAGACUCUAGACUUCACCUUUGACCAUCCGUCCUUCUCUCAAGAUGUAUACACACUAAUUGAAGGAAAAUCUGUAAAGGAGAGGUCAUACUGAUGAUCCUUUCAUGGAAAAAUGGAAAGGUAUUUUUCAAAUGUUUGGUGCACUGGAGAAGAGAAAUAAAAACAAUGACAAUUGAUCCACAGGGAAACCUAGACAAUUCAGUAGUUCUUUCCCUUGAUAUUUUUCUGGGUCUGAUCGGUGCCCAGAAUAAAUCACACAACAUUCAGUUGCAACAUCCAGUCUGAUUAAUUCUACCUUCACUUGGGAGCAACUUUGCUUUUGGUUUAAAUAUCAGAGAUAAUGUUCCCACUUGUACUAAUAAACAUAUUUCUCUUAGAGAUCACUCCACUGGUUUCUCUAAUCUUAAUCAAUUGUCCUCCCUUACUGAAGAGCUACAGUUAUUCCUUCCAUUGCAGCUUCUAUAUAUCAAGGCUAGCAUAAGAAAAUAAAUGGGAUUGGUGAGAGAAGUUUUGCACAC